rnacentral:rRNA from 1 species
GACGAACGCUGGCGGCGUGCUUGACACAUGCAAGUCGAACGGAAAGGCCCUGCUUUUGUGGGGUGCUCGAGUGGCGAACGGGUGAGUAACACGUGAGUAACCUGCCCUUGACUUUGGGAUAACUUCAGGAAACUGGGGCUAAUACCGGAUAGGAGCUCCUGCUGCAUGGUGGGGGUUGGAAAGUUUCGGCGGUUGGGGAUGGACUCGCGGCUUAUCAGCUUGUUGGUGGGGUAGUGGCUUACCAAGGCUUUGACGGGUAGCCGGCCUGAGAGGGUGACCGGCCACAUUGGGACUGAGAUACGGCCCAGACUCCUACGGGAGGCAGCAGUGGGGAAUAUUGCACAAUGGGCGGAAGCCUGAUGCAGCAACGCCGCGUGCGGGAUGACGGCCUUCGGGUUGUAAACCGCUUUCGCCUGUGACGAAGCGUGAGUGACGGUAAUGGGUAAAGAAGCACCGGCUAACUACGUGCCAGCAGCCGCGGUGAUACGUAGGGUGCGAGCGUUGUCCGGAUUUAUUGGGCGUAAAGGGCUCGUAGGUGGUUGAUCGCGUCGGAAGUGUAAUCUUGGGGCUUAACCCUGAGCGUGCUUUCGAUACGGGUUGACUUGAGGAAGGUAGGGGAGAAUGGAAUUCCUGGUGGAGCGGUGGAAUGCGCAGAUAUCAGGAGGAACACCAGUGGCGAAGGCGGUUCUCUGGGCCUUUCCUGACGCUGAGGAGCGAAAGCGUGGGGAGCGAACAGGCUUAGAUACCCUGGUAGUCCACGCUGUAAACGGUGGGUACUAGGUGUGGGGUCCAUUCCACGGGUUCCGUGCCGUAGCUAACGCUUUAAGUACCCCGCCUGGGGAGUACGGCCGCAAGGCUAAAACUCAAAGGAAUUGACGGGGCCCCGCACAAGCGGCGGAGCAUGCGGAUUAAUUCGAUGCAACGCGUAGAACCUUACCUGGGUUUGACAUGGAUCGGGAGUGCUCAGAGAUGGGUGUGCCUCUUUUGGGGUCGGUUCACAGGUGGUGCAUGGCUGUCGUCAGCUCGUGUCGUGAGAUGUUGGGUUAAGUCCCGCAACGAGCGCAACCCUUGUUCACUGUUGCCAGCACGUUAUGGUGGGGACUCAGUGGAGACCGCCGGGGUCAACUCGGAGGAAGGUGGGGAUGACGUCAAGUCAUCAUGCCCCUUAUGUCCAGGGCUUCACGCAUGCUACAAUGGCUGGUACAGAGAGUGGCGAGCCUGUGAGGGUGAGCGAAUCUCGGAAAGCCGGUCUCAGUUCGGAUUGGGGUCUGCAACUCGACCUCAUGGAGUCGGAGUCGCUAGUAAUCGCAGAUCAGCAACGCUGCGGUGAAUACGUUCCCGGG